UUGACCUCGGAUCAGGUAGGGAUACCCGCUGAACUUAAGCAUAUCAAUAAGCGGAGGAAAAGAAACCAACAGGGAUUGCCUCAGUAACGGCGAGUGAAGCGGCAACAGCUCAAAUUUGAAAUCUGGUCCCCCGGGCCCGAGUUGUAAUUUGCAGAGGGAGUUUCGGGGGCGGCGCCGGCCUAAGUUCCUUGGAACAGGGCGUCAUAGAGGGUGAGAAUCCCGUACGUGGCCGGCGGUCAAUCCCAUGUGAAACCCCUUCGACGAGUCGAGUUGUUUGGGAAUGCAGCUCAAAACGGGUGGUAAAUUUCAUCUAAAGCUAAAUACCGGCUGGAGACCGAUAGCGCACAAGUAGAGUGAUCGAAAGAUGAAAAGCACUUUGGAAAGAGAGUUAAACAGUACGUGAAAUUGUGAAAGGGAGCGCUUGCACAGACUGCUCGCGGUG
rnacentral:rRNA from 1 species